rnacentral:rRNA from 1 species
CGCCUGUUUAUCAAAAACAUAACCAUAGGAAUUUAUAUAUGGCUUUUUCUGCUCUAUGAUAAAUUAAAUGGCCGCAGUACCCUGACUGUGCUAAGGUAGCAUAAUCAAUUGGCUUAUAAUUUAAGUCUAGUAUGAACGAAAUUACGGAUAUUAACUGUCUUGUAGGUUAAUUAAGAAAUUACUUAUAAAGUGAAAAUACUUUAACAUAAAUGUUAGACGAGAAGACCCUAGAACUUUAUAUGUAUGAUUUGUUGGGGCGACAACGAUACAAAUUAACUAUCGGAUUACUAUACGUAGUAUAAUAUACAGUUAAACUAAGUACUCUAGGGAUAACAGCAUAAUUUCUUAGAAGUUUGUGACCUCGAUGUUGGAUUAGGAUAUUUCUAGUUUAGAAGACUAGAAGAUUGGCUCUGUUCGCGCUAUUAUUCCUACGUGAUCUGAGUUCAGACCG